GUAGAAGGAAACAAUACUUCCAUCUGUAGGACUACAAUCUACCGCUAUUUCAGCCAUUCUACCAG
rnacentral:tRNA from 1 species